rnacentral:rRNA from 1 species
ACAUCGCCUCUUGCAUUCCAAAGUAUAAGAGGUCCCACCUGCCCUGUGACUCUAAGUUUAACGGCCGCGGUAUUCUAACCGUGCGAAGGUAGCGCAAUCAAUUGCCUUUUAAAUGAAGGCCUGUAUGAAUGGUAUAACGAGGGUCUAGCUGUCUCUUUUUUCUAGUCAGUUAAACUGAUCUGUCCGUGCAGAAGCGGACAUAAAUAUACAAGACGAGAAGACCCUAUGGAGCUUUAGACACUAGCCAACUGUAAAUAAGCGACUAAACUAAGCAAGUCCUAAACACCCGCAGCCUUCUGGCAAUGUAGUCUUAGGUUGGGGCGACCACGGGAGAAAGUAAAGCUCCCAAGCAGACCGGGAAAACCCUUAAGCCAAGAGUUGCAACUCUAAGCCGCAAAAUUUUUGACUGAAAUGAUCCGGUUGAAAAACCGAUUAACGAACCAAGUUACCCUAGGGAUAACAGCGCAAUCCCCUCCCAGAGUCCCUAUCGACGAGGGGGUUUACGACCUCGAUGUUGGAUCAGGACAUCCUAAUGGUGCAGCCGCUAUUAAGGGUUCGUUUGUUCAACGAUUAAAGUCCUACGUGAUCU